rnacentral:rRNA from 1 species
AACGAACGCUGGCGGGAGGGAGAACACAUGCAAGUCGAACGAGACCUUCGGGUCUAGUGGCGCACGGGUGCGUAACGCGUGGGAACCUGCCCUUAGGUUCGGAAUAACUCCCCGAAAGGGGUGCUAAUACCGGAUAAUGUCUUCGGACCAAAGAUUUAUCGCCUUUGGAUGGGCCCGCGUUGGAUUAGCUAGUUGGUAGGGUAAAAGCCUACCAAGGCGACGAUCCAUAGCUGGUCUGAGAGGAUGAUCAGCCACACUGGGACUGAGACACGGCCCAGACUCCUACGGGAGGCAGCAGUGGGGAAUAUUGGACAAUGGGCGAAAGCCUGAUCCAGCAAUGCCGCGUGAGUGAUGAAGGCCUUAGGGUUGUAAAGCUCUUUUACCCGGGAUGAUAAUGACAGUACCGGGAGAAUAAGCUCCGGCUAACUCCGUG